CUUUGGGCAAGAGAAACACAGAACAUAGACUAACUCGGAAUGAUGCAGAGAAGAUCAGCAUGGCCCCUGCACAGGAAGACAAGUCAAUUGGGAAAGGUUAUGUGUGUGUGU